rnacentral:rRNA from 1 species
UGCGCAGGCGGUUAUGCAAGACAGAUGUGAAAUCCCCGGGCCCAACCUGGGAACUGCAUUUGUGACUGUAUGACUUGAGUACGGUAGAGGGGGAUGGAAUUCCGCGUGUAGCAGUGAAAUGCGUAGAUAUGCGGAGGAACACCGAUGGCGAAGGCAAUCCCCUGGACCUGUACUGACGCUCAUGCACGAAAGCGUGGGGAGCAAACA